rnacentral:sRNA from 1 species
UGCAAAAGGGUAAGAAGCGUGCCGCGGA